rnacentral:rRNA from 1 species
CCUACGGGAGGCAGCAGUGAGGAAUAUUGGUCAAUGGACGAGAGUCUGAACCAGCCAAGUAGCGUGAAGGAUGACUGCCCUAUGGGUUGUAAACUUCUUUUAUAUGGGAAUAAAAUGUUCCACGUGUGGGAUUUUGUAUGUACCAUAUGAAUAAGGAUCGGCUAACUCCGUGCCAGCAGCCGCGGUAAUACGGAGGAUCCGAGCGUUAUCCGGAUUUAUUGGGUUUAAAGGGAGCGUAGGUGGAUUGUUAAGUCAGUUGUGAAAGUUUGCGGCUCAACCGUAAAAUUGCAGUUGAAACUGGGAGUCUUGAGUACAGUAGAGGUGGGGGGAAUUCGUGGUGUAGCGGGGAAAUGCGUAGAUAUAGCGAAGAACGCCGGUGGCGAAGGCGGCUGCCUGGUCUGCAACUGACACGGAGGCUCGAAAGUAGGGGUAUCAAACAGGAUUAGAGACCCUUGUAGUC